rnacentral:rRNA from 1 species
AGACUGAACGCUGGCGGCAGGCCUAACACAUGCAAGUCGAGCGGUAGAGAGGUGCUUGCAUCUCUUGAGAGCGGCGGACGGGUGAGUAAUGCCUAGGAAUCUGCCUAGUGGUGGGGGAUAACGUUCGGAAACGGACGCUAAUACCGCAUACGUCCUACGGGAGAAAGCGGGGGACCUUCGGGCCUCGCGCCAUUAGAUGAGCCUAGGUCGGAUUAGCUAGUUGGUGAGGUAAUGGCUCACCAAGGCGACGAUCCGUAACUGGUCUGAGAGGAUGAUCAGUCCACACUGGAACUGAGACACGGUCCAGACCUCCGUACGGGAGCAGCAGGUGGGAAUAGUGGACAAGUGGGACGAAAG